UACGUAGGGUGCAAGCGUUAAUCGGAUUUACUGGGCGUAAAGCGCACGUGGGCGGAUAGUUAAGUCGGGGGUGAAAUCCUGGAGCUCAACUCCAGAACUGCCUUCGAUACUGGCGAUCUUGAGUCCGGAAGAGGCGAGUGGAACUCCUAGUGUAGAGGUGGAAUUCGUAGAUAUUAGGAAGAACACCAGUGGCGAAGGCGGCUCACUGGUCCGGUACUGACGCUGAGGUGCGAAAGCGUGGGGAGCAAACAGG
rnacentral:rRNA from 1 species